AGAACGAACGCUGGCGGCAUGCCUAAUACAUGCAAGUCGAACGAAGGCUUCGGCCUUAGUGGCGCACGGGUGCGUAACGCGUGGGAAUCUGCCCCUUGGUUCGGAAUAACAGUUGGAAACGACUGCUAAUACCGGAUGAUGACGAAAGUCCAAAGAUUUAUCGCCAAGGGAUGAGCCCGCGUAGGAUUAGCUAGUUGGUGAGGUAAAGGCUCACCAAGGCGACGAUCCUUAGCUGGUCUGAGAGGAUGAUCAGCCACACUGGGACUGAGACACGGCCCA
rnacentral:rRNA from 1 species